rnacentral:lncRNA from 1 species
CUGAUGCUGCCAGCUCUUCAAUAAUUCUUUAACACUCUGGGGCAUGAUCCAUGAGAUCCUACAGAUGUUGAAAAAGAGUUCCCAGCAUUGCCUAGUAUAUCUGCAGUGCAGAAGAAGGUGAUUCACAGUCUCCAUCUCUUCUCCACACAAGAAGCACCUAUUACUUAAUGCAAAACCCUCUUUUGAAGGUUGCUCUGGGUAAGACAGGCUUCCCUAGCUGCAAUCCAACCCAAGCAUGCUGCUUUUAUAGGAGCUUUAGCUUUCCAAAUCACUUUCCAAGGCCAGCUAGUAUUCGAGUGACCUGCUUGUUUCUAGGUAGGCUGUAACAAUUUCUAACAGUAAACUUCCUAUCUUUACUCUCUUUCCAUACUAAUGAAUACUAUUUGUUUUGAUCAAUGUGGGUAGAUUCCAAUUGAAGGAGCAACUGGCAGAAAUCUACUAUUUCCCAAUCAUUCAAACUCCUUCAAAAACUCACCUGCCAACUUGAAUUUGAAUAAAAUUCAGCCACAACCCCAUCUUUGUUAUUACAACAACUAAACAGAUCCGGGAAUUUUGAUUUCAAUCACUCAUCACCAGCACACAAAUCUGUCCAGAAACUAAUCUUACUUCCAUUGCCCACCUCCAAUCUAGUAAGCUGCUUAAACUCUUCACAAAAUUUGUAGAUUUCUUUCCAAACUCCCCCUCUGGCGUACAUACUUUUAAAGUGGAGGAUUCCAGCCUUGUUUGUUCCCAUGAAUAGCUUCAAUUAUUUUAACCCAGGUUGUUUCUGCUUCCCUGCUAAAUCUACAGAGCCACUUAAGAAGGCAUACUUUUAUUCUCUAGUCUCAAAAUUAUAACCCCCAAACCACCUCCUUUCUUUCGUCGCUUCGGUGAAUCACUUGAGCCCUGAUACAUUUUCGGUGCCAUGGAGCUAGACCAGUGAGCUAUUACGCUUUCUUCAAAGGAUGGUUGCUUCCAAGCCCACCUCCUGGUUGUCAUCGCUCGAUCACUUCCUUUUCCACUAAGUGAUUGCUUAGGGACCUUAGCGUACGAUCUGGGCUGUUUCCCUCUCGACUUUGGAUCUUAGCACCCAAAAAGUGACCAGAAAAUUUAGAUCUAGACUUAACCAAUUAGAUUUUCUAAUAAAAUGGAGUUAAUCUUAGCCAAUAUUAAUAUCCAAAAGAUGUGUUAACCGAUUUUGUAGCGAGAUAUCACGGAUAUUACUUGAGUAGUAAUUUAAUGACUACAAUAAUGCAAUAUUCAAUCAUCCAAAAAUAAAGGAGGUAGCAUUAAAUAACAAUAAAUAGCAAUGAAUGGCAUUUAUGUAAAUAAAGCAUGUGAGUCACGAAAAAGUUGAGAUUCUUUGAUAUUCUUCCUGACAACGAUAAAUGAUUGAUAAGCCUUUGAAUAUUCGAAUUCUUCUUGGAUCGUGGGAGAAAAAGUUAGAUAAAGAUCUGAAGAAAAUGUGUAUUUUGUAUGAUAGAGCAAGAAUCUUCAAAGAAUGUCAAUGUGUUAUUUUUACAAUGAGUGUCCUAUCCCCUUCUAUAGCUACAUAUCUUUCUAUUUAUAAGGCACAUGGACCACAAAAACCCUAAUAUUACAGAUUGGAGGAAUAUCCACUAGAAUAUUUUGUUUAAAGUCUUAUUUCUAAAACUAGCCGUUACUACUCUGAUAAAGGGAGUACUCGUCCUCGUGCUCGACCUCCGUUGGGUCCUCGAGCUCGCCUUCAUCCUUCGUUGACAUCAGAUUGAUGACACGUGGCAGCCUUCGAAGGCUUCCUUAAUAUUGAUUAAGCUCACAUAUAGUUAUGAUAAUUUUUAGCCUAUACAGUUAGUCCUUCCGCUUGUUGAGGUCAUCUUCGUGGACGAGUUCAAUGAGCGGAUAACAGCGGCCAUGAUCGCUGUGAUAAACAGGCGACAUGGCUCUUUGUAGACUGAAUAUUUCAAAACCUUAAAUUUCCCCGCUGGAACCAUCUAGUCCAAGAAACGAAGUGACAUCAAGACGUCAUGAUGAUGGCGAAUCCUGACGCAUUGCGUGGAUUCACGCGUGACCUUUGAUUGGUUCUGUCGUUCCGAUUCUAGUGCCAAUUAUGAUGAACUGUUUCGGGUUUGGUGCCUUAAUCUCUAUAAAUAGAGAUUGCUUCCUCAUUGUUCAAACUUUACUUCCUUUCAUACCAUCCUUGCUCUACGUAAAUUCCAUUAUUUAUCUUGAGUCUUCCUUGCCUCCUAAACCUUAACUUUCUUUCAUACUCUCAUCUUCUUAUAAAUCGCAUAACCAUGUCUAACUUUUCUUCUAAUGUUGAUGAAGAAAGCCAUGCCAUUACUUUGGCUGUUGUAUUCCCCGUUCAUGGGGGGCAACCGUCGCCGCCGCAAAAGACGAAGCUCUUCCUUCAGUGGAGGGGAUCAAUCUCCGCGACCCUAAUGCUAGGUCCAAUUUUCAACGGUCGCCGGAGGUGAUGACCGGAAAGUUUCAAGUGUCAAUGACAUCCGGGCACUUGGCUGAAUUCAAAGCUAAGUUUGGCCUUCCCAACCAUGUGGAAUUAACCCAUGUUGGCGAGGACAAAGUGCACGUUCAACAUCUUGGGUAUUGCGCUCUUUAUGCCUACCCAUUCACCAUCGGCUACUCGUUCCCCCUUCUCUCGCUGGUGGAGGAGUUCUGCCGCCACUAUAGCGUUUUCCCGGCUCAGCUCGCCCCUUUUUAGAAGGUGAUCAAGAUGCUAUCAAAGUUUGCUGAACUUGCCAGGGUCGAGGUCACGAUGCGACAUUUGGUGCAUCUGUUCGCGCCUAGCUUCUACAGAGGGACGAUGUUGAACUUUCGACAUCAUGGGGAAAAUGCUUGGUGGUGAAGAUGGACGAUAAGAGUAGUCGGCAGUUCUGGCUCGACUACUUCUAUGUCAAGUCUGAGGUCAUUGCGGCUGAUGUCGAUGGUUUCCCCGAGGCCUAGAACCAUACACGUAAGUGUUCGUGUUUUUUGCUUUCAUCCUUUUAGGUACUUUGUUCAUUUCAAAUUAGUCGAGUAACUCUUCUUUUCCUAUAGCCACUAGUCGUCCUCCUCCUUUGGCGACACACCUCGCUGACUGGGUCAGGCAGGUUCUCCCUUAUACCGUGGGGAUUCGCGAUUGGCCGAGCUUCUUUUUAAAGUACAAACUGGCCCUCCCUUUGACAUGUAAUCUCCUUAUUCUGGUCGCUAUCAUAUUGUGUAUUGGCUUGUGCAGUUGUAAAAUUUUACGCUUCGUUCUUUUUUAGGCUCAGUCAGGGGGACUACUAGAAGAAACAGGGCGCUCGUGCCCAUGUUUAGGAGGAUAAAAACUGUUGUGCCUUCCGUCUCCGCCCCCGUCUCAGCUACUGGUCUGACUCCUCCCUCGUUUUCACUCAUCGACGAAGACGACGAAGUCUCUCCUCGUGACGGGGACCUAAGUCCCCGCAAAAGGAAGGUUGUGGACGUAGGGGGAGUUCCUCGGCCGUCGACUCAGUAGAAGAUGAAUUCUCGCUUCGGGAGACGGCGACGAUCUACAUCGGAUAUGAUGUUGGGGCGACCUCCGAGGCCCCACAAUUAGAAGAGGCUAAUGAGGGUGUUCCCUCGCGUCCCGAGGAAGAGAAGGUUGUGGAGAGGACGUCUGGUGACAGCUCCGUGCCUGCAGGGCAAGAGAAGGCAUUGUAAAAAAUAACACAUACUCUGAAGAUUCUUGCUCUGUCAUAUAAAAUACACCUUUUCUUCAGACCACAAUCCAAGGAAAAUCUGAAUAUUCAAAGGCUUAUCAAUUAUUUAUCGUUGUCAAGAAGAAUAUCAAAGAACCUCACCCUUUUCGGGUGACUCACAUGCUUUAUUUACAUAAAUGUCAUUCAUUGCUAUUUAUUGUUAUUUAAUGCUACCUUCUUUAUUUUUGGAUCAUUGAAUAUAGCAUUAUUGUCGUUAUUUAUUACUACUCAAACAAUAUUCGUGAUAUCUCGCUACAAAAUCGGUUAACAUAUCUUUUGGAUAUUAAUAUUGACUAAGAUUAACUCCAUUUUAUUAGAAAAUCUAAUUGUUUAAACCUAGAUCUAAUUUUUUGGUCAAACAACAGUUAUAGCGAAUAAGGACAUUAGAUAAGAGGGCAUACCAUCUAAAACACUAUUAAUCAAAAUGAGUUUGCCUCCAAAUGAUAAAUAUUGCUUCUUCCGGGGAACUAAUAUGUUGGCACAUCUAUCCAAAACCCCUUGCCAAAUACUUUGAUCGUUUCUUCUAACUCCUAGUGGAAAUCCAAGAUAGACUAUGGGAAAGCUGUCCACCCAGCAUCCUAAAAUAUCUUUUUUGAUGAAGGCCAGCAUCCUAAAAUAUCAGCCAAUUAGCCAAUACAAUCAUCAGCAUUAAUACCAUAAGUAGCAUUAAUACAAUAAGUACUGUUCUUUCCCAAAUUCACUUUCAAUCUAGAAGUUGCUUCAAAGGUCAGUUAAAUUCCUCUAAGGUAUAGAAAUUGCUCCUUCUCUGCCUCACAGAACAAGAGGGAAUCAUCAGCAUAUAGAAUGUGAGAUAGCACCACACUGUCACUACUCUUUCUUCCAAUCCUCAGCCCCUUGAUCCAACCCAGGUCUUCAGCCCUCUUCAAUACAUGGCUCAGCAUCCCCAUUACUAAAACAAAUAAAUAAGGUGACACGGGGUCUCCUUGUCUCAAUCAUCUUGAAGACUUGAAAUAUCCAUGAGGGGCUUCCAUUGAUUAAAAUUGAGAAUCUGACUGU